UACGUAGGGGGCUAGCGUUGUCCGGAAUCAUUGGGCGUAAAGAGCGUGUAGGCGGUCCGGUAAGUCCGCUGUGAAAGUCGGGGGCUCAACCCUCGAAUGCCGGUGGAUACUGUCGGGCUAGAGUGCGGAAGAGGCGAGUGGAAUUCCUGGUGUAGCGGUGAAAUGCGCAGAUAUCAGGAGGAACACCGGUGGCGAAGGCGGCCUUCUGGGCCUGUCCUGACGCUGAGGCGCGAAAGCUGGGGGAGCGAACAGG
rnacentral:rRNA from 1 species